ensembl:snRNA U6 U6 spliceosomal RNA
GUUUUCGCUUCAGCAGCACAUACACUAAAAGUAGGACAAGACAAAGAUUAACAUGACCCAUGAGCAAUGAUGACAUGCAAAUUCAUGAAGAAUUCUAUCUUUAA